UUUUAAGGCGUUCGCCAGAAAUCCUUCAAGAGGGGUACUUCUUAAAGAGACGGCAGUUUAGAGUAAGGCAGAACUGGAUUGCAGAAUUUGGAGCAAAGCGAAAAAAUGCUGCUGUGAAGACAUAAUUAUAGCUUUCACAUAACUGAAGCCCCAACCAUCAUGAUUUAGUGCCCCCCAAAGGAAGAACUUCAGUGGAAAAGAGAGGGCAUUUCUGGGGACAGUAGAAUGCUUGAGACCUGAAUUUAAACUCAAGCUCCUUCAUGAAGGUAUUGAGUAAUAGAAGAAAAUGGAAUUGAAUAUGAUACCAGCAUGGAACAGUCUGUUGAGUCAUUAAGAGUCAACCAUAAUGAUUCCAAAGAGUCAAAAACCGAUUCUCAGCAUCUAAGCUGUAUGGACUCCAGUGAGCCUUCUUUUGGACAAGAUGGUUCCCCUAGAGUUUUACCCAUUACUACUGCAGUGGAUAAUUCACUCACAUCACAAAAUAUACCAGGGCCUCUGACUCAGACACAGACUCUUUCUGCAGAGCAAUUCCACCUAGUGGACCAAAAUGGGCAACCUAUUCAAUAUGAGCUUCAGUCAUUGGGCGAUUCUAAUGCGCAAAUGAUGAUUGUUGCCAGCCCAUCAGAAAAUGGACAGGUGCUGCGUGUAAUUCCAUCUACCCAGACAGGAACGACACAAGUGAUUGUACCUCAGGGGCAGCUUGUGGAUGUGAAUAGUCCUCAGGAUGUCUCUGAAGAGAAACCCAGUGACAGAAACUUACCAACUGUAAGAGUGGAUUCUCUAGCAGACAAUAACAGUAGUUACAUUCUUCAUCCACAAGCUUCCCUCACAUUGCCCAAAAAGACAGUGACCAGAAUACUUGAAGAACCCUUUUUGGCUCCACUCCAGUCACUUUCUUCUAACACACCUAUAUGGGCCUGUCGUCUUAGGAGCUGUGAGAAAAUUGGAGAUUCAUACCGUGGCUACUGUGUAAGUGAGACUGAAUUAGAAAGUGUCCUAACAUUUCACAAGCAGCAAACACAGAGUGUUUGGGGGACCCGCCAAUCUCCAAGCCCAGCCAAGCCAGCUACACGCUUGAUGUGGAAAUCCCAGUAUGUCCCAUAUGAUGGAAUCCCAUUUGUCAAUGCAGGGAGUAGAGCUGUGGUAAUGGAGUGUCAGUAUGGGCCAAGAAGAAAAGGUUUCCAGUUAAAAAAGAUCAGUGAGCAGGAAAGCAGGUCUUGUCAGCUCUACAAAGCUACUUGUCCAGCCCGGAUUUACAUUAAAAAGGUACAGAAAUUUCCUGAAUAUAGAGUUCCUACAGACCCCAAAAUUGACAGGAAAAUAAUCCGAAUGGAGCAGGAAAAAGCCUUUAACAUGCUAAAGAAGAACUUGGUAGAUGCUGGUGGUGUUCUUAGGUGGUAUGUACAGUUACCUACGCAGCAAGCUCAUCAGUAUCACGAAUUAGAGACUCCCUGCCUCCCUUUGUCACCUUCCCCUUUUCCUAUGUCUUCUCUUGAAGAAGAGGAAACUGCAGUUAGAGAUGAGAACUGUACAUUACCUUCACGUCUACAUCCUCAAGUAGCACAUAAAAUUCAAGAAUUAGUAUCACAGGGAAUACAACAAGUGUAUGCAGUAAGGAAACAGCUAAGAAAAUUUGUGGAAAGGGAACUGUUCAAACCUGAUGAGGUACCUGAAAGACAUAAUUUAUCCUUUUUUCCAACUGUAAAUGAUAUAAAAAAUCACAUCCAUGAGGUACAGAAAUCCUUGAGAAAUGGAGAUAAUGUAUAUAACUCAGAGAUUAUUCCAGCAACGCUUCAAUGGACUACAGAUAGUGGGAAUAUUCUCAGAGAGACUGUGACAGUUACACUUGCAGAAGGAAAUUCACAAGGAGAAGCAAUUUCCAGCAAAGUGGAAACAAAUCAGACAAGGGGUUCUUUGUCUCCAGAGCCAGUGCACUUGCUCUCCUCACUUUCUUCAUUUCAGCCAAAAAUAUUCACACAACUACAGGGUUUGCAGUUGCAACCAAGAUACACUUCUUCUGAUGGAUCACCAGCUCAGAUAUCAGUAAAUAAUCACCCCUCCUCCAGUCCUUCAAGACUUCUGGAUUCAGUAGGAAGUGCUGUAGUGAAUAAUAAUUCUCUACUGCUUGGUCAGACUCAUUGCCUUCAAACAGAUACAUGCCUAACCCAAAACAGUAGUAUUUCCUCUACCAUGGGUAACCUUCCAGGACCAGAUCAAAAUCUGGUUGCAGUGGAUCAGCUGGUGGAAGUUGGAGAUGUUGAGGAUACAGAGAAUCUGGAAGGAAAUGUUCAUCGGAUUCUGCUGGGGAAUGUGCAGACCAUUCCAAUACAGAUUAUAGACAGCCACCCAGCUCUUAUUGAAGAAAGUCCAGAAGGUACCAUUUCUGUGAACCAAGUUAAGCAAGAACCCAAAGAACCAGCAUUAUCUAUGGAAGCAAAAAACAAAUUGGACUGUAAGAAAUUGUCUGCUACAUAAAUUAUUGAAGCUUUUCAGAAUUUACAACUCUGGUGACUUCUGAUGUCAUAAAAAAGAAGGUAGGAACUGGAACUAUCAAUAUUUUCAUAACCCUCUAAAAUCUUAAAGAUGGACGUUCAGCAAAACAUGUUUCCUGCCUUUUUGGAGCUUACUUUCCAGUAGGGGGCGAUAGAUAAUAAACAUAAUAAGUUAUUUUGGAGGUAUUUUAAAGGAGCCAAUAUUUGACUGUCUUGGAGGUCCCAUCAAAAUAUGGUCAACUUGGAAACAGCGUGUUUUGCUGAGGCCCUUUGAGCCUCCUGCACAGGGUCUGUCCAAUGACGACGGUGAGGGACACAAAUCCAACUUAGCUGAGCCAAAGCAGAUGACACAUUUUUGGAUGAUUUUCCUGGAUUUUCCAGAUAGAAAAUCAUACCUGGGACUUCCCUGAUGGUGCAGUGGUUAAGAAUCUGCCUGCCAGUGCAGGGGACACGGGUUCGAGCCCUGGUCCAGGAAGCUCCCACAUGCUUUGGAGCAACUAAGCCCAUACGACACAACUACUGAGCCUGUGCCCUAGAACCUGCAAGCCACAACUACUGAAGCCUGUGUGCCACAGGUACUGAAGCCCAUGCACCUAGAGCCCGUGCCCCGCAGCAAGAGAAGCCACCACAAUGAGAAGCCUGCGCACCGCAAUGAAGAAUAGCCCCUGCUCGCCACAACUAGAGAAAGCCCGCACACAGCAACGCAGACCCAGCACAGCCAAAAAUAAAAUAAAUAAAUUUAAUAAAAAAGAAAAUCAUACCUGGAUAGAACCUCCAUAACAGUCUAAAAUAGUAGCAAUUGCUUGCAUUCUUGUUCAUUAUAUUAACGAGAAUGCCUUUCCUUUUUCAGUUAAGGUAGGGUGUGGGCUGUGUGUUUGUGAUAGCUGUUCUUGAUGAUGGAAAGGGAUUACUUUCUAGUUCUAUGGAAAUUUUUUCAAUAGCUUAACCUUAAAAAAUCAGGAAUGUAGAUUUUAAUUGAAAACUUUUCAACAUCAGAGAAUCUUUGUGUUUUUUUCUCCUUAACCUACUAAUAGGUUAAUUGAUUUCGUGAUUUUAAGCCAUCCUUGUAUUCCUAAAUAAUC